GUUAAAAAAAAAAAAGAAAAGACUCAAUCCCUACCUUCAACUUGUUCACUAACUAGUUUCUAGCACAGACAAGGGUAGCAUGGAUGGAGGAACAGAUAUAUCACUCAUCUGGAGUCAGAAGACCUACUUUCAGAUUCAGACUUAGAGAGGCUUAAAUAUCCUUGGAUAAGUCAUACCAACACUGAGAGCCUCUGUUUUCUCAUUUGUUAAAUAAGAAUUUGGAUCGAAUAAUCUCUGAGAACUCCUUCCAGCUUUAAGUACAGCAGUGGAUGGCUCAUGUCUUCUCUGAGCUGGUUGGGACCAGAAAGGAUACAGGGAGGCCAGCUGUGAGUCAAAACUGGAAGUGAAUUAGAGCCAAUAGAACAAAGCCAUUGUGGAAGGGAGCAAUCACUACCAAGAAGCCACUCAUCUUCCUCACCACUGCUACCUGCACCAAUGGUUGACAAACACACGAUGGGCAGGUAAACUCAAGAGCACCAAGAGAGGCUACACACUCCAAGACCACACUAUUCGUGCCUCCUGCUCUGGAUGCCAUUUCUCAUGAAGCAACUGCCAAGGAGAUGCAGCCUAGGAAAUGCUUCUUUGAGUCCUGCAGAAACAUCUACUGAAGACCCAGAAAAAAAGGUUCCCGACACCAAAAUCCUUGGUACUAUUCAAUGAUUCUCAGCUUCAGAAGUGGAUAUGAUUUCAUCAUAGGGGAAUGAUAUAGAUAUUUCCUUUCUGUCCUAGAAUCAAUAUUGUGUAUUGGUUCCAAGGAACAAGAGCAAUAAGAUGUAGGCAAUGGGGGUUAAGUGACUUGCCCAAGGUCACACAUCUAGGAAGUAUCUGAGGUCAAACUUGAACCCAGGAUUUCCCAUCUUUGCCCUGGCUGUUAAUCUACUGAGCCACCUAGCUACCCCGUAUUGGGGAUAUUUUUAAUGAUUCAUCAUCAUCUGCUUUGUGUCUGCCUCCUAAGGAGCAUGGGGCUUUUCCAUCUGACCCAAGCUGAAACCUUCCAUAUUUGUUGUCUCCUCCAUUAAAAUAUGAGUUCCUUGAGAGCAGAGGCUGUCUUUUUCUUUCUGUUUGUAUCUCUAACAUUUUGCCCAGUGCUUUGUAUCUAGUAAGUGCUCAAUAAAUGCUCAUUCAUUCA